GCAUUGGUAGUAUAGUGGUGAGCACAGCUGCCUUCCAAGGAGUUGACCUGGGUUUGUAUUCCUGGCCAAUGCA
rnacentral:tRNA from 1 species